CUUUUUGGUAGCUGGCUUUAAAUUCAUCUCAUCAGAAGUUGUAAGUUAUCUAUUCCUUUUAUCUUGGCCUUGGCACACUUGGAAUGCUGUAAUCCAUCCAUCUAAUCUUUUGCAUGUAUUUUUCUCCUCCUUCUCCCUCAGGUUUUGCUAGUGAAUCACAUUAUGAAAUCUGCAACCAUGAAAGACCCAUUUGUUGCAUUAUCCAUAAAAGAAAUAAAAGUGAUAACUAACAUGGAAGCUAAACUGUUUAGGCCACCAAUGCAAAAUCAGUUUUUACUAUUCUUGCACCAGCAUAUAGACUAUACAGUUACAUCAGCCUGGAGAGGCAGAUACACAGAAUGCAUUGUGGAACACAUCAUAGCCUGACACAAGAGAUCAAGCUGUUAGAGAUCAAGCCGUAAGACUUCCAGUAGAAUAUAAGCUCAUUUCCAAGAUGAUUGCCUUCUCUAAGGAGCCUGAUCUCUCAUAAAACAGAAAUAGUAUCAUCAAAUAACAAUAUUCAAAAGGUAAAUGGUCCAUGUUUUUUCAUGCUGCCAUCCUUCAUGAUAAUCUCUUUAUCAUCCAAACUGUGUUAUACUGUUAAAGAAAAUGAGCCUUGGUGCAGAGGAAAUCAAGAGUCCAAUUAUGUUCCUUAGUGAACCAUGACUGUAAAUUUAUGUUUUUGUCCCCCUUUCUUUGAAAAAUAGGUUUCUUCUCUUCUGAGAUUGUAGCAAACAUUCAUUAGACCACACUGGUGAUAUAAAUAAGAUUCAUGGUAAUAUCUUGUGCCUCUCAUUGGAUUGUACAUUAUAUCCAGAACAAGAAGCAAACUAACUCAGAACAAGAAGCAAACUAACUCUAUUUAGCACACACACACACACACACACACACACCCCGUUCUCUCUCUCUUUGUCUCUCUUUCUAGCUUUCUGCAGAGUGUCUUUCGCUUACCUUUCAGCAGCCACCACUCACCAUCUGAGAUUAGGGCCAAGAGCUUUUUGAUAUUACUUCGACUCUGGCUUUAGCCCCAGUAUUUCUCCUGUAAGGAGUUGAAC
rnacentral:lncRNA from 11 species